rnacentral:rRNA from 1 species
AGACGGGGGGGGCGAGCGUUGUUCGGAAUUACUGGGCGUAAAGGGCGCGCAGGCGGCUUGGGAAGUCUUGGGUGAAAGCCCCCAGCUCAACUGGGGAACGGCCUGAGAAACCACUAGGCUGGAGUGCUGGAGAGGGAAGCGGAAUUCCCGGUGGAGCGGUGAAAUGCGUAGAUAUCGGGAGGAACACCAGAGGCGAAGGCGGCUUCCUGGACAGACACUGACGCUGAGGCGCGAAAGCUAGGGGAGCAAACGGGAUUAGAUACCCCAGUAGUCC